AUGAGUGACGAUGGCGACUCCGACAUCUGCGAUGGAUGCAUCGAGGCGAUCUGCUGCGCGUUUUUCGUGGAUUCCCUCGGCGGCAAGACACUCUUCCGCAUUGUCUGUGCUAUCGUGAUCUUCGCCGUCCUGGCCACCGGGUUCACGCUGCUCGUCAUCGCGUUCGUCACGCGCCCCGUCGGCGUCACCGUCGAGGACGCGGCCCUCGCCCGCCUCGCCCUCGCCAACAAGAACGCCACGGCCACGGCGCUCGCCUACGACUUCUCGCUCGCCGUCGCCGUGCGCAACCACAACUGGAUCAUGCGCACCCAGCACACGGCGCCGCUCCACGCGGAGCUGCUCUUCGCCGGCGCUCGCUUCGCCCGCGUCGGGCUGGCGGGCGCAGGGGGCCUUGUACAACCGGGGAACAAGGAAGUGUACCACGCCACGGCGGCGGCCGACAGCGCGAGCGUCGCGCUGGGGAGCGCAGGGGUGGCCGAGUUCGUCAGGGAGAGCACGGCGGGGGUCUUUCAUUUGGAGCUCAGGGUUCUCGGGGAGGUCAGGUACCAGCCGCGCCACCACCUGCACAGGCUGCACGCGAUCUGCCCGCUGGAGUUGGCUCUGUCGACGGCAACGUCGCCGGCGACGUUCAGAAAGGUCAAGUGCGCCGCUUUUUCAUAG
rnacentral:rRNA from 1 species